CACAAAUGCGAUGAGCCUAGCCGAAGGUAUCACUGCGAAAAUGGCAGGCCACGCCCCUUCCAAGGUCAUCGGCCAGGUCGAGGUUGGCACGCAGUGCAGCUUGCCUCUGGCUGACAAGUCUGUUGGCUGCUCCUUCAGAGAAGGCAGUGAGUCGAGGAGCGUGCAGACUACAGGGACUGUGGAUCAAUCAGUCUCCACCUCAGGAUCGAUGCCUUCUAUUUCUCCAUCAACAGCCAACGGUGACGAUUCACAGCAGGGAUGCCUGCACCAAAACCAUCCUUCUGGCCAUAAGACUGAUAAAUUGUUCCGUCUAGAAGCACAUGUCAGGGUCUAUAGAGGAGGGCUUUGGUUUAAGUGCCAUUUGUGCCCUCACAGCUUCGCAAAAAAAGAGACCCUGAAGAAGCAUUUGCGUGUGCACAGGGGUGAGCGGUCAUUUCAGUGUACCUUAUGCCUUGAGAGGUUCUCAUGGAAGACCCACCUGGAAGUUCACCUGCGCACCCACACAGGUGAGAAGCCAUGGCAUUGCCCUUCGUGCCCUCAACGCUUCUCGCAUAAGUCCAGCAUGAAAGCCCACCUGCGCACCCACACAAGCGAGAAGCCAUUCAAUGCCAUUCAUGUCUUCAGAGCUUUGCACAAAAGUCCCACCUGAAAACCCAUCUGUGCAACCAGACAGGCAUGCCAUCGGCUGCUCUGAAGGCUGGGCUGACAGGUUGCGUUGUUCAUCUCCGGGGGCAUCCCGGCCUUGCAAACUUCGGGCCAUUGUGCUGAAAGGCAAGAAGACAGGAGAGCAAGGGGAAGGUGCUCCUGCCUUGCGAACCUGCACAUGACGCCUACAGCCGCAGUAGGAGUACUGGUUACGGCACUAAAUGCAAAGAACUGAGACAGAUGCCAUGGCUACCCUGAACUUCCUCUCUUAUUGGAACUCUAGUGAAAACGAUAAUGAUAGGUAAGAGAUGCCACCUUCUUCUCUAUGCGACAAGUACCCAAGCAUGCAAGGCAAGAAAACAGGAAAAUUAGGGGUGGUUUAUGUACCUACUAAGUAAAGAACCAAUCACUGGGGACUAAGGAGCUCCGGAAGAGAAAAGUGAAGGGUAUAGUUGGAACACGGAGGAAAGCCACAUAGGAAGAAGUUUGCCCAGAGAACUGUGCCGAAGACAUGCUGUCCGUUUUUGGAACCAGGCCGCCAAAACUUCACUGGACCAGGGCAACCAGUCAAGGCUUGGCCAACACAUCGCUACAAGAGCAUGCUUUGCAACUUCACCAGCCACAGAAUGCUAACACAAGGCCUGUGAGCUACCAUUUCUGUGGCCAGAACACAGCCUUACAAGCUUCUGCCUGGCCAGGCCAGAACAAUUCCUCCUAGUGUUCCUGUUGGAGGUUCCUGAUAUGGCCUCUGCUUCU